rnacentral:rRNA from 1 species
UGGGGAAUAUUGCACAAUGGGCGCAAGCCUGAUGCAGCCAUGCCGCGUGUGUGAAGAAGGCCUUCGGGUUGUAAAGCACUUUCAGCGGGGAGGAAGGCGAUAAGGUCAAUAACCUUGUCGAUUGACGUUACCCGCAGAAGAAGCACCGGAUAACUCCGUGCCAGCAGCCUCGGUAAUACGGAGGGUGCAAGCGUGAAUCGGAAUUACUGGGCGUAAAGCGCACGCAGGCGGUCUGUCAAGUCGGAUGUGAAAUCCCCGGGCUCAACCUGGGAACUGCAUUCGAAACUGGCAGGGUAGAGUCUUGUAGAGGGGAGUAGAAUUCCAGGUGUAGCGGUGAACUGCGUAGAGAUCUGGAGGACUACCGGUGGCGAAGGCGGCCCACUGGACAAAGACUGACGCUCAGGUGCGAAAGCGUGGGGAGCAAACAGG